rnacentral:lncRNA from 1 species
UUUUGAGACAGAGUCUCGCACUGUCACCCAGGCUGGAGUGCCGUGGCGCGAUCUCAGCUGGCAUAAUUUGCCAAUUUGAUUUAAAUAUUGGUAGCCAAAGAAGGCAAAGGUAUUAUUAUAAAAGAAGGUGGUCAAUGGAACCAUGGUGUUUUCUGGACAAAGCAAAGACACUACAUUUUUUGUCCAGAAGUAGGUAAAGGUUAUAUUAAGUGAUGAUAUCUGAUUACUCAAGUGAAGAUUAUUUGACCAUGCUUUGGAAGCCUGAUAUGAUUUGGCUCUGUCCCCACCCAAAUCCCAUUUUGAAUCGUAAUCCCCACAUGUUGGAGGAGGGGCCUGGUGGGAGGUGAUUGGAUCAUGGGAACAGAUUUCCUCCUUGCUGUUCUCAUGAUAGUGAGUAGUUCUCAAGAGAUCUGUUGGUUUUAAAGUGUUGCACUUCUCCCCUCGCUCUCCCUCUCUCUCCUGCUCCACCACGAUAAG